ACCUCCGGGACGGCUGGGCGCCGGCGGCCGGGAGCUCCGCGUUUCCUGAAUCCCGGCGGGCCCGCCCGGCGCCCGUCCGCCCGCGGGUC
ensembl:miRNA